CGAUGCUAACAGACUCCAGCAGCAGCUUCAGAGGAGCUGUGGCUCCUAAACUGGAGCUUCAGGUCCAACAGAGCUGAAUCAAAGCUCUACAACUCUGGUUUAGACGAUAAGAUGCUGAGCUUCCGGUCUGAAGAUCAGCCUCCAUUUUGAGCUGCAGGAUGGAAAUAACUUGCUGACUUGUUACUAGAGGACAGUUACUGGAACCGGAUCACUGGACUGACUGGUUCUGGUUUCUCUCUCCAAAAGGCCAGAAGAUGAAAGAUGGGUAUCAGUCCAUCUAUGAGGAGUGACCAGUCCAAAGAUGAACCUCCAGAGUUCAGUAAUGAACCUGGACCAUCAGACAGAAAGAGCUGUGAGUGUGAAGAAAGACCCAGAACAGGAGCUGAACGGCCG